UCCGUAGGGUGAACCUGCGGCCGGGAUCAUUACCGAGUUUACAACUCCCAAACCCCUGUGAACAUACCUAUACGUUGCCUCGGCGGAUCAGCCCGCGCCCUGUAAAAAGGGACGGCCCGCCCGAGGACCCUAAACUCUGUUUUUAGUGGAACUUCUGAGUAAAACAAACAAAUAAAUCAAAACUUUCAACAACGGAUCUCUUGGUUCUGGCAUCGAUGAAGAACGCAGCAAAAUGCGAUAAGUAAUGUGAAUUGCAGAAUUCAGUGAAUCAUCGAAUCUUUGAACGCACAUUGCGCCCGCCAGUAUUCUGGCGGGCAUGCCUGUUCGAGCGUCAUUUCAACCCUCAAGCUCAGCUUGGUGUUGGGACUCGCGGUAACCCGCGUUCCCCAAAUCGAUUGGCGGUCACGUCGAGCUUCCAUAGCGUAGUAAUCAUACACCUCGUUACUGGUAAUCGUCGCGGCCACGCCGUAAAACCCCAACUUCUGAAUGUUGACCUCGGAUCAGGUAGGAAUACCCGCUGAACUUAAGCAUAUCAAUAAGGCCGGAGGAA
rnacentral:rRNA from 1 species